rnacentral:rRNA from 1 species
GGGCGGUACCUUGACGGUACCUCACCAGAAAGCCACGGCUAACUACGUGCCAGCAGCCGCGGUAAUACGUAGGUGGCAAGCGUUGUCCGGAAUUAUUGGGCGUAAAGCGCGCGCAGGCGGCUUCUUAAGUCUGAUGUGAAAUCUCGGGGCUCAACCCCGAGCGGCCAUUGGAAACUGGGGAGCUUGAGUGCAGAAGAGGAGAGUGGAAUUCCACGUGUAGCGGUGAAAUGCGUAGAGAU